AGCGGCGGACGGGUGAGUAACGCGUGGGUAACCUGCCUCAUACAGGGGGAUAACAGUUGGAAACGGCUGCUAAUACCGCAUAAGCGCACAGUACCGCAUGGUACGGUGUGAAAAACUCCGGUGGUAUGAGAUGGACCCGCGUCUGAUUAGGUAGUUGGUGGGGUAACGGCCUACCAAGCCGACGAUCAGUAGCCGACCUGAGAGGGUGACCGGCCACAUUGGGGCUGAGACACGGCCCAA
rnacentral:rRNA from 1 species